CCUACCAUCUCACCAGUGCACCCAGGUCAUCUGAAACUGAAGGGCAGCCAGGGCUGCCUCUCUGCCCCUCUCCCUGCCCCAUGUCAGAAAUGGCAGCUCUCCCUGUGCUCAGGCUGGUGCCAGCAACCAGGCAGAACUCAGUGCCAUUUGAUAUCAAACCCUCUCACACUCGCAGCAUGGCCAGGCAACAGCGGAUAGUGUGCCCCAGUCAGCUGAUAAAGGAGUCCUCCUUCUUGAUCUUCUACAGGCAGGAUGCAAUCCCUGUCAAAGCUUAAGGGGACACCAAGUGUGUAACUCAGAACUUCACCUUCGAAUGUGCAUGGCAACUCUCUCAGGUUUAUUGAGACACUCGAAAGACCCUCAGUGAAGGGAAGGUCAGGACUGUGGGAGAAAUGGACCCAGAUGACAAACUGAAGUCCAAAUUUCCAGCAAGGUAUCAUUCUGAGCUGCUGGCACCACAAGUGUUUCAGAAAAGCAACAGCAGCCCUUCAAGAGCCCUGCAAACCUUCCAGCACCUUGAAAACCUGUCAUGCCUCUUUGGCUUCUCAGAGUUUAAUAAAGCUUGAUUUGUGUUGAAAACUCCAAUUGAAACCAGGUCAAAGAUUUUGACUGGGAUCUCUGCAGGUCUCCUCACACCUGCCAACAUGUGCACAGACCCAUGGAGAGCUGCCAGAAUCAAAAUAGGUCAUGACUAUGCUCGAACAUGUGGUGUAGAGGUUUCUCAUUAUUUCCAUGUGCAACCAUCCAGUCUGAUGCAGCUUUGAAAAUAUAAAAGCAUGAUCAGGAAUUAUAUGGCAGUAUGAAAUUUCAAGACAUCUCCACUAAGUCAUAAUAAUAAGACUGUGCAUCCCAUGAAUUUAAUAAAAGAUGAUCUUAAUAUCAAGUAUUCCCACUCCUCUCAUGAGCUACUCCAUCCGGUGUGUAGGAAUAGAAUACAGCAAUUGAGGGGAAAAAAAACGCUAAAAAUACUAACAAAUACUAAGGUUUGCUUACUCUUGGUCUUCCUAACUUCAACAACAGAAGCAAUUAAAGUGCAUCAAUCAGGACAUUUUUUUCUGUGACUGGGAUAUUCUCUAGUGUUUUUAACAGCUUGCAAAUUCCUAUGACUAUAAUCAGACUGAUCCCACUGUGCUCUCUGUCAGAUACCACAAUGGCUAUAAUCUAGCACCUGCUUGGUACAAAGCUUGGAAGUGAGCCUGGGUGCCCACAGAAUAAAAAUUAAGCAUGUUCGCUACAGAAGGGGAGGAUCAGAGGGAAUUUAGGAACACUAGUGACAGCCUUCUUAUUUCCCUCUCAGCAAGAGAGUCCUGGCUAAGACAGGUCAGAAAACAGUGCUAUUGUUCUGCCUUAAACAUCUCUCUUCCAGAGGCAGAAUUUUGCUUUCAGAAGCAGCCAGUGUGGGGACGCAUUCCCAACAAAAUCAUGUAUCUCCAUCUGUCUCUUCUGGACUGCCCAUCUUGCCCCAUUGUCAGACUGUUAGAAAGCAACAAAUGCUUUCUUACCCUGACCAGUCGGCAAAUCCUUUUCCUCAUGCCUGGCUUAGAUAGAUACAUCACCUAGAAAAGCAGUGGGUUAAGGUAACCUACCCUUUUUCGUCCUUUCAGAUUCACUGGUUUUCCUCAGUGCAGAAUUCAUUGGAUCCCAUUGACCUGGAGGUAACUCAAGCAGAUUUUUCAAUAGACAACCUGCCCCAGAUGCUGAUCAUUCUGCCUAGUAAACUACUGUAGUGGUAAACUACUGUAAUGUCUCUGACAGACAUGUCUCUGCAGCUGUAUGGAAAUUGCUCAUCAGUUUAUUGACGUACAGGGACCUAUAUUACAGUUUUAUCCACAUAAGAAAGCAUUUACUCAUCAUCUGUGUUGGCUUUGAAAUUCCUUAUUGGAAUUGGAA